rnacentral:rRNA from 1 species
UGAAGCGGUAACAGCUCAAAUUUGAAAGCUAGCUCUUUUAGGGUUCGCAUUGUAAUUUGUAGAAGAUGCUUCGGGUGUGGCCCCGGUCUAAGUUCCUUGGAACAGGACGUCAUAGAGGGUGAGAAUCCCGUAUGUGACUGGGUGCUUUCGCUCAUGUGAAGCUCUUUCGACGAGUCGAGUUGUUUGGGAAUGCAGCUCAAAAUGGGUGGUAAAUUUCAUCUAAAGCUAAAUAUUGGCCAGAGACCGAUAGCGCACAAGUAGAGUGAUCGAAAGAUGAAAAGCACUUUGGAAAGAGAGUUAAACAGUACGUGAAAUUGUUGAAAGGGAAGCGCUUGCAACCAGACUUGCGCGCUGAUGAUCAUCCGGGCUUCUGCCCGGUGCACUCGUCUGCGCUCAGGCCAGCAUCGGUUUCGGUGGUGGGAUAAAGGCCUUGGGAAUGUAGCUUCUUUCGGGGAGUGUUAUAGCCCUCGGUGCAAUGCCGCCUACCGGGACCGAGGACCGCGCUUCGGCUAGGAUGCUGGCGUAAUGGUUGUAAGCGACCCGUCUUGAAACACGGACCAAGGAGUCUAACAUCUAUGCGAGUGUUUGGGUGUCAAACCCAUACGCGUAAUGAAAGUGAACGGAGGUGAGAACCCUUAAGGGUGCAUCAUCGACCGAUCCUGAUGUCUUCGGAUGGAUUUGAGUAAGAGCAUAGCUGUUGGGACCCGAAAGAUGGUGAACUAUGCGUGAAUAGGGUGAAGCCAGAGGAAACUCUGGUGGAGGCUCGCAGCGGUUCUGACGUGCAAAUCGAUCGUCAAAUUUGCGUAUAGGG